rnacentral:rRNA from 1 species
GUAGGGAAUCUUGCACAAUGGGCGAAAGCCUGAUGCAGCGACGCCGCGUGCGGGAUGAAGGCCUUCGGGUUGUAAACCGCUUUCAGCAGGGACGAAAUUGACGGUACCUGCAGAAGAAGCCCCGGCCAACUACGUGCCAGCAGCCGCGGUAAUACGUAGGGGGCGAGCGUUGUCCGGAUUUAUUGGGCGUAAAGAGCUCGUAGGCGGUUCCGCAAGUCGGAUAUGAAAUCUCCACGCUUAACGUGGAGGGGUUAUUCGAUACUGCGGUGACUAGAGUCCGGUAGGGGAGUGUGGAAUUCCCGGUGUAGCGGUGAAAUGCGCAGAGAUCGGGAGGAACACCCGUAGCGAAGGCGGCACUCUGGGCCGUGACUGACGCUGAGGAGCGAAAGCGUGGGUAGCGAACAGGAUUAGAAACCCUGGUAGUCC